CCUACGGGAGGCAGCAGUGGGGAAUAUUGCACAAUGGGGGAAACCCUGAUGCAGCGACGCCGCGUGAGUGAAGAAGCAAUUCGUUAUGUAAAGCCCUAUCAGCAGGGAAGAAAAUGACGGUACCUGAGUAAGAAGCCCCGGCUAACUAAGUGCCAGCAGCCGCGGUAAUAAGUAGGGGGCAAGCGUUAACCGGAUUUACUGGGUGUAAAGGGAGCGUAGACGGCAGUGCAAGUCUGGAGUGAAAGGCGGGGGCUCAACCCCCGGACUGCUCUGGAAACUGUACGGCUGGAGUGCAGGAGAGGUAAGUGGAAUUCCUAGUGUAGCGGUGAAAUGCGUAGAUAUUAGGAGGAACACCAGUGGCGAAGGCGGCUUACUGGACUGUAACUGACGUUGAGGCUCGAAAGCGUGGGGAGCAAACAGGAUUAGAUACCCUAGUAGUC
rnacentral:rRNA from 1 species